AUUGAACGCUGGCGGCAUGCCUUACACAUGCAAGUCGAACGGCAGCGCGGGGCAACCUGGCGGCGAGUGGCGAACGGGUGAGUAACAUAUCGGAACAUACCCUAGAGUGGGGAUAACGUAGCGAAAGUUACGCUAAUACCGCAUACGCACUAAGGUGGAAGGUGGGGGAUCUUCGGACCUCAUGCUCAUGGAGUGGCCGAUAUCUGAUUAGCUAGUUGGUGAGGUAAAGGCUCACCAAGGCGACGAUCAGUAGCUGGUUUGAGAGAACGACCAGCCACACUGGAACUGAGACACGGUCCAGACUCCUACGGAGGCAGCAGUGGGGAAUUUUGGACAAUGGGGGCAACCCUGAUCCAGCAAUGCCGCGUGAGUGAA
rnacentral:rRNA from 1 species